UACGUAGGGGGCUAGCGUUGUCCGGAUUAUUGGGCGUAAAGCGCGUGUAGGCGGUCCGGUAAGUCCGCUGUGAAAGUCGGGGGCUCAACCCUCGGAUGCCGGUGGAUACUGUCGGGCUUGAGUACGGAAGAGGCGAGUGGAAUUCCUGGUGUAGCGGUGAAAUGCGUAGAUAUCGGGAGGAAUACCAGUGGCGAAGGCGGCUUCUUGGCCUGUUCUUGACGCUGAGGCGCGAAAGCUGGGGGAGCAA
rnacentral:rRNA from 1 species